GGAAAUUCCUUGAUUAAGCAAUACCACCUAGGGAUAGGGGGGUAGGACGAUCAAUUGUUUUUGCUUCUGUUUAUCAUGCAUUAUUAAUUACUAGGGGAGGUUAGGGAUAGCAAGCCAGUAAUUAGUAAUAGGCUCUUUUCGCUGAGAGAUCGGGUUAAGGGUAGACUAAGAAAGUUUGCAUGACAAUAUGAUAAUAAAGCGAAUUUAAUAAGAAAAGUAGAUAUAUGAGAGUGGUUGGGUGAAAUCUGAAUCCUAGCAACAAAUCCAUCUCAUAUUAUCAACAUCCUCCAUCCACUUUUGUGUUUAACCUCAAUUGAUUAAAUUGCAUUCAUGUUUAUUUUUUCGUACUUUAAAUUCAAAAAAACCCUAAAAUAUUUUGUUCUUAUAGUCUUGAUUGGUUAAGCAAAAGCACAACAGUUUAGUGUCUUGAGUCUUUUGGGAAAACGAUACUUGGACUUACCAUUUAUUAUUACUUAAUACGAUCUGGUACACUUUCCAGUUUGUUAACAGUUACACGAGAGGCCAUAGGUGCAAGCC
rnacentral:lncRNA from 1 species